GACGAACGCUGGCGGCGUGCUUAACACAUGCAAGUCGAACGGAAAGGCCCUGCUUUUGUGGGGUGCUCGAGUGGCGAACGGGUGAGUAACACGUGAGUAACCUGCCCUUGACUUUGGGAUAACUUCAGGAAACUGGGGCUAAUACCGGAUAGGAGCUCCUGCUGCAUGGUGGGAGUUGGAAAGUUUCGGCGGUUGGGGAUGGACUCGCGGCUUAUCAGCUUGUUGGUGGGGUAGUGGCUUACCAAGGCUUUGACGGGUAGCCGGCCUGAGAGGGUGACCGGCCACAUUGGGACUGAGAUACGGCCCAGACUCCUACGGGAGGCAGCAGUGGGGAAUAUUGCACAAUGGGCGGAAGCCUGAUGCAGCAACCCCGCGUGCGGGAUGACGGCCUUCGGGUUGUAAACCGCUUUCGCCUGUGACGAAGCGUGAGUGACGGUAAUGGGUAAAGAAGCACCGGCUAACUACGUG
rnacentral:rRNA from 1 species